CCUACGGGUGGCUGCAGUGGGGAAUAUUGGACAAUGGGGGCAACCCUGAUCCAGCCAUGCCGCGUGUGUGAAGAAGGCCCUCGGGUUGUAAAGCACUUUCAGUGAGGAAGAACGCCUGGUGGUUAAUACCCAUCAGGAAAGACAUCACUCACAGAAGAAGCACCGGCUAACUCCGUGCCAGCAGCCGCGGUAAUACGGAGGGUGCGAGCGUUAAUCGGAAUUACUGGGCGUAAAGCGCGCGUAGGUGGCUUGAUAAGCCGGUUGUGAAAGCCCCGGGCUCAACCUGGGAACGGCAUCCGGAACUGUCAAGCUAGAGUGCAGGAGAGGAAGGUAGAAUUCCCGGUGUAGCGGUGAAAUGCGUAGAGAUCGGGAGGAAUACCAGUGGCGAAGGCAGCCUUCUGGACUGACACUGACACUGAGGUGCGAAAGCGUGGGUAGCAAACAGGAUUAGAUACCCGAGUAGUC
rnacentral:rRNA from 1 species